rnacentral:rRNA from 1 species
GACGAACGCUGGCGGCGCGCUUAACACAUGCAAGUCGAGCGAGAACCAGGGCUUCGGCCCUGGGGACAGCGGCGAACGGGUGAGUAACACGUGGAUAACCUGCCCUCGGCACCGGGAUAGCCCGGGGAAACUCGGAUUAAUACCGGAUAGCCCUUCCGACUCUCGAGUCGGUCCGAAAAGGUAGCUUCGGCCUCUGGCCGAGGAUGGGUCCGCGGCGGAUUAGCUUGUUGGUGGGGUAACGCCUACCAAGGCUCCGAUCCGUAGCUGGUCUGAGAGGACGAUCAGCCACACUGGGACUGAGACACGGCCCAGACUCCUACGGGAGGCAGCAGUGGGGAAUCUUGCGCAAUGGGCGAAAGCCUGACGCAGCGACGCCGCGUGAGGGAUGACGGCCUC